rnacentral:rRNA from 1 species
GAUGAACGCUGGCGGCGUGCCUAAUACAUGCAAGUCGAGCGAACGGACGAGAAGCUUGCUUUUCUGAUGUUAGCGGCGGACGGGUGAGUAACACGUGGAUAACCUACCUAUAAGACUGGGAUAACUUCGGGAAACCGGAGCUAAUACCGGAUAAUAUUUUGAACCGCAUGGUUCAAAAGUGAAAGACGGUCUUGCUGUCACUUAUAGAUGGAUCCGCGCUGCAUUAGCUAGUUGGUAAGGUAACGGCUUACCAAGGCAACGACGCAUAGCCGAUCUGAGAGGGUGAUCGGCCACACUGGAACUGAGACACGGUCCAGACUCCUACGGGAGGCAGCAGUAGGGAAUCUUCCGCAAUGGGCGAAAGCCUGACGGAGCAACGCCGCGUGAGUGAUGAAGGUCUUCGGAUCGUAAAACUCUGUUAUUAGGGAAGAACAUAUGUGUAAGUAACUGUGCACAUCUUGACGGUACCUAAUCAGAAAGCCACGGCUAACUACGUG